rnacentral:lncRNA from 1 species
CAGCUUCUCUUUAUGUGAAUGGUUCUCAGUUCCAAAUUAUUUGUUCAGCCAUUUAUAGUUUUCCAUCCCACAUCCUCUUAUGGUUUCAGUCUUGUCACCAGUUCUCUUCCCUCCGCCCCAUUUCUAUCCCAGCUCCCCAUCUAAUACUCCUGUCCUUUGAGAAUCUAUUUCAAAUCCCUCCCAUAUUACCUAGAAAAACCAAUUUUCUCCCCCAAUCCAUCUUUCAAUCCCACAUUUUUAUUUCCUCCUCCCUCUCAAAUUGGUGUGAUCCCUUCCCUCUCUGAAGUUCCAACUAUUUGCCCCCCAACCUUUAUUUUGAUGUGCCUGAGGGAGAUAAUAUCUGGAGCACAGGACACAAAGCCUGCUUGCUUUUGGUUCAAGUGUCUGGAUUAAGUUCAAGUCCCACAUUAGCCCUGACAUAAAGGCAUAGAAAACUCUGAUGACCCCUGAACUGGACCCCACUGACGAAAAAAAUAACUUCUUCAGAGAAUGGAAUGUAGAAAGUUCUCAUGCAGAUUGCAUUUUUUCCCCCAUAGUCUAGAAUAUGCAGCGACUCAAGCUGUCUGUCAUGAAGCCAGUUAAAAGAAUAUCCCUGAAAUGAAAGCAAGUUGCUGUCAAAUAUACUGAAAGAAGUCAAAUAUAGAGUACAAAGAGUAGGGAUACAAAAUGGUUGUGCAGAGGAAAGCUCAAAUAAGCAGGACCAGCAUUACCCAAUACUCCUAAAUCCCUGUAAACUCAAGUUCUGUCAGUAAGGUCAAAUGGCUUUGCUCUGUACAAACCCACACUCUGUGAUUCAAAAACUCAAAGGAAACAGUGAGGAUUAGGUUGGAUAUUGGGAACAGAUUCUUCACCCAGAGGGUGGGUGGGCACUAGAACAGAGCUCCUAGGAAAGUCACAGCAGGAGCCUACCAAAGUUCAAGGAGCAUCUGGACAACGCCCUCAGGCACCUGGUGUGAAUACUGGGGCUGUCCUGAGCAAAGUCAGGAGUGGGAUUUGAUGAUCCUUGUGGAUCCCUUCCAGCUCAGGAUAUUCUGUGAUUCUAUGAGCACUUCAGUGGAUGAGUCCUGCUGGGCCUGUGCUCUGCACUGAGCCACCUCAGCUCUCCCACCAGCGCUGUCCCACCAUUGGCAACAGUGAAUCUGCAGCCACUGAGGCAAUUUCACUGCCUUGUCCUCAGAAACUGCCGAGCCACUGAGGAGGUGGUAAAUUCGUGACACAAAGAGGCAGAGAAACAAAUAAACAGAAAUAGAGACAAGAAAUUAAAUGGCAUAACAGAAACUACCAGGAAAAGAAGCCUUAAAUAGAAAAGUAAUAUAUAGACUUUCUGCCUGGAUAGCUACAUUUGGGCAGAGUCGCAGGCACCUAAAUACAUAGCCUUUUAAUAAGAAGUUAGGUAGUCUUUUUAGGAGGUGAUGUUAACUUUGGCUAUAGAUGAUAAAUCCUUGGGUUUCUCUGUAGUUAUCCAAAAUUGCACAGCCUGUCACCACAGGCCACCAAUUUCUGUCAUUUUUGAACUUGAUUUUGAAUUAUGUGGUGAAAGACACUGUAUGAAGCACAGAGCAAUAGUUUCAGUAAUUCUUCUGACAAGGAAGAAUUUUCCCUCUCACUCACUUUUUAAGCACAGGCCCUGAGAUAUUUAUUACAUGUUGCUUCACUGUUCUUGUACAUUAGUUUCAUCUGAAUACAGGAUGAAACAUCACACACUUGCUAAACAAUUAUCUAGUGUUGCAGUACACUAAAAAGUAGUUAUCACAAUCCACUACACAUCUGUUUUGGGUCAGUGUAACCAUUGAAAUUAUAUGUUUUAUUUGCAUAUCAGUUUUGUUAUUAAAAGUAGUAAUAUCAUAUCAUAUCA